rnacentral:rRNA from 1 species
UACGGAGGGUGCAAGCGUUGUUCGGAAUCAUUGGGCGUAAAGCGCGCGCAGGCGGCUUGCCAAGUCUGAUGUGAAAUCCCGGGGCUCAACCUCGGAACUGCAUUGGAAACUGGCAGGCUUGAGUAUGUGAGGGGUUAGUGGAAUUCCUGGUGUAGGGGUGAAAUCCGUAGAGAUCAGGAGGAACACCAGUGGCGAAGGCGACUGACUGGAACAACACUGACGCUGAGGCGCGAAAGCGUGGGUAGCAAAC